rnacentral:rRNA from 1 species
UACGUAGGGUGCGAGCGUUAAUCGGAAUUACUGGGCGUAAAGCGUGCGCAGGCGGCGCGUUAAGACAGGUGUGAAAGCCCCCGAGCUUAACUUGGGAAUUGCGCUUGUGACUGGCGUGCUGGAGUGUGGCAGAGGGAGGUGGAAUUCCACGUGUAGCGGUGAAAUGCGUAGAGAUGUGGAGGAACACCAGUGGCGAAGGCGGCUAUCUGGACGGUUUCUGACGCUAAGACGCGAAAGCGUGGGGAGCAAACAGG